rnacentral:rRNA from 1 species
UACGUAGGGGGCAAGCGUUGUCCGGAUUUAUUGGGCGUAAAGAGCGUGUAGGCGGCCAGACAGGUCUGCUGUGAAAACUCGAGGCUCAACCUCGAGACGCCGGUGGAAACCGUCUGGCUAGAGUCCGGAAGAGGAGAGUGGAAUUCCCGGUGUAGCGGUGAAAUGCGCAGAUAUCGGGAAGAACACCCGUGGCGAAGGCGGCACUCUGGGACGGUACUGACGCUGAGACGCGAAAGCGUGGGGAGCGAACAGG